GGAAACGGUCGCUAAUACCCGAUGUGCCGAGAGGUGAAAGAUUUAUCGCCUGAGGAUGAACUCGCGUCCGAUUAGCUAGUUGGUGGGGUAAGGGCCUACCAAGGCGACGAUCGGUAGCUGGUUUGAGAGGAUGAUCAGCCACACUGGGACUGAGACACGGCCCAGACUCCUACGGGAGGCAGCAGUGGGGAAUUUUCCGCAAUGGGCGCAAGCCUGACGGAGCAAGACCGCGUGCGGGAAGACGGCCUGUGGGUUGUAAACCGCUUUUCUCAAGGAAGAAUAAUGACGGUACUUGAGGAAUCAGCCUCGGCUAACUCCGUGCCAGCAGCCGCGGUAAUACGGGGGAGGCAAGCGUUACCCGGAAUCAUUGGGCGUAAAGCGUUCGCAGGUGGCUAUGCAAGUCUGCUGUCAAAGCGUGGGGCUUAACUCCAUAGGGGCAGUGGAAACUGUGAAGCUAGAGUGCGGUAGGGGCAAGGGGAAUUCCCAGUGUAGCGGUGAAAUGCGUAGAUAUUGGGAAGAACACCGGUGGCGAAAGCGCCUUGCUGGGCCUGCACUGACACUGAGGGACGAAAGCUAGGGGAGCGAAAGGGAUUAGAUACCC
rnacentral:rRNA from 1 species